CCUAUAUUUCAGAAUUCUUCAAUUUCUCCAGCACAGAAAUUUUAUUGAGCUCUUCUUGAUUUUACACCCGUCUGAAUUUCUCCAAUGAGUUCACAAGCUAUGAAAGGAGAAGCGGGACAAAAAGAAAAAGAUUUAUUUCAAUGCCCUCUGAUUUCUGUGCAGUUUCUUUUCCUUGUGAAUACAGUCAUCAGAAAAAAAUUCUGCCUGAAUUCAUGAUACCCAUUGCUGCUGACUGCAGCAAAAGCAGCUCUUCCGUGACUGCCAGCCAGAAAAAGUACAGGAUGAGCUUCCUGCUCGUACCUACACGUGAUCUGGAGAGAUGAUUUUUCUUCAUAACAGUAAAGCACCUAAGUCCAAGGUGUUUUACCAGUGCUGUUCCACUGAGUUUUGGAGGAUUUUACUGGCACAAGUGGCAGUGGAAUGCUGUCCCUAAUUAAAAGAGAUAUGUAAGUAUUCUCAUGGAAAGGCAAGCAGAUGAAAAGCUGCUGUCAAAUAAGGUGUGUUGUCGAAAGUCUGAGCUGUGGCAAUAAAAUUUGUUCUUCCAAA